GAUGAACGCUGGCGGCGUGCCUAAUACAUGCAAGUCGAGCGAACGGACGAGAAGCUUGCUUCUCUGAUGUUAGCGGCGGACGGGUGAGUAACACGUGGAUAACCUACCUAUAAGACUGGGAUAACUACGGGAAACCGGAGCUAAUACCGGAUAAUAUUUUGAACCGCAGGGUUCAAAAGUGAAAGACGGUCUUGCUGUCACUUAUAGAUGGAUCCGCGCUGCAUUAGCUAGUUGGUAAGGUAACGGCUUACCAAGGCAACGAUGCAUAGCCGACCUGAGAGGGUGAUCGGCCACACUGGAACUGAGACACGGUCCAGACUCCUACGGGAGGCAGCAGUAGGCAAUCUUCCGCAAAGGGCGAAAGCCUGACGGAGCAACGCCGCGUGAGUGAUGAAGGUCUUCGGAUCGUAAAACUCUGUUAUUAGGGAAGAACAUAUGUGUAAGUAACUGUGCACAUCUUGACGGUACCUAAUCAGAAAGCCACGGCUAACUACGUG
rnacentral:rRNA from 1 species